rnacentral:rRNA from 1 species
GUACGGGGGGGCAAGCGUUGUUCGGAAUUACUGGGCGUAAAGGGCUCGUAGGCGGCCAACUAAGUCAUACGUGAAAUCCCUCGGCUUAACCGGGGAACUGCGUCUGAUACUGGAUGGCUUGAGUUCGGGAGAGGGAUGCGGAAUUCCAGGUGUAGCGGUGAAAUGCGUAGAUAUCUGGAGGAACACCGGUGGCGAAGGCGGCAUCCUGGACCGAUACUGACGCUGAGGAGCGAAAGCCAGGGGAGCAAACGGGG